rnacentral:tRNA from 1 species
CAGAGAAUAGUUUAAUUAAAAUAUUAAUUUUGGAGAUUAAUGAUAAGAGUAUUCUUUUCUCUGA